rnacentral:rRNA from 1 species
GGAUUUGUCGGUUGGGCUUAACUGUCCGUAUUGACUUUAUGGAUUCUUACCUUCUGAAUAACCAGCAUGCUAUUAAGUUAAUGUGUUGGGGAAGCAGAUCUAUUACCUUGAAAAAAUUAGAGUGCUUAAAGCGAGCUGGUGCUUGAAUAGAUUAGCAUAGAAUAAUAAAAUAGGAUGGUAUGGUUCUAUUUUGUUGGUUUCUAGGAUCACUGUA